GUCUAUGGCCAUGCUACCCUGAACAAACUGGAUCCUGUUUGAUCUCAGAUGCUAAGCAGGGUGGAGCCUGGUUAGUACUUGGAUGGGAGAUCACCUAGGAAGACCAGGUGCUUUAGGUG
rnacentral:rRNA from 1 species